rnacentral:rRNA from 1 species
UACGGGGGGAGCAAGCGUUGUUCGGAUUUACUGGGCGUAAAGGGCGCGUAGGCGGCGUGUCAAGUCAGGCGUGAAAGCCCCGGGCUCAACCUGGGAACCGCGCUUGAGACUGGCAUGCUCGAGUUCGGGAGAGGAUGGUGGAAUUCCCAGUGUAGAGGUGAAAUUCGUAGAUAUUGGGAAGAACACCGAUGGCGAAGGCAGCCAUCUGGACCGACACUGACGCUGAGGCGCGAAAGCGUGGGGAGCAAACAGG